ensembl:lncRNA
AAUAAUUAGAGGUAUUGACUUAUUUUUUGUAGCUACAUAAGUUAUACUGGUAUAAAGAAUUUCAAAAGAGUUGAAUUUAUGACAAGGUUUUUGUGUGACGCCUAGAUUUUGACUAUGGAUGAGACCAACACCUCCUCCUCUACCAGUUGAACGAGGCUGAUGUACAUAACUGUAUCCAGGAGGACUGGCUUCAUUAAUGCUAUGUACUCCUUUGGUUUAAUCCAAAUUUCUGUUAAACACAUUAUGUUACAUUCCUGAUCAGUAAUGAUUUUAUUUACAAUAAGAGCCUUAGACAUAAGAGAUCUAAUGUUUAAUAGUCCUAGCUUCAGAUCAAAGGUGCUGGAUGUGCAUUUGGUAUGAUCUAAUUUUAUGUUAAUUAGGUUAGUAAAACAAACUUUCCGAAAUUUUCUAUGUAUAUAGCUCGGGGAACAGACAGUCUCUAUAGAAUGUACUAUUGCCCGAUUGACUCCAAUAUGAUAUUUUUCACAUAGUUAGACAUAAUACAGUACUAUGAAAUAUUUCUGACCUAAAAUAAGACGAAAUAUGAUUGUUCACAUUAAAAUGUAAAACUUGAUGAUAAAGUAUGAUAAGGUGAAAAAAGUGACAUUUCAUGUCUAGAAAGUCACUUUUCAUCAAAAGUACAAUGACAAAACUAGUUCCCAUUCAUCCUGUGUCCCCAUGCACACUUGUGCUCUUUAUAAGCUCAAAACGCUAUACAGCGAUUGAGAAGGCGCUAGGAGCAAAGGAAAGUGGUUUUUCCAACAAACUCAUGUAAUCAAUUGUCCGACCUACUCCCGUAUGAUAUUUUUCACAUAUUUACACAUAAUAUAGUACUAUGAAAUGUUUCUGACCUAAAAUAUUAUGAAAUAUGAUUGUUUACAUUAAAAUGUAAAAGUUGAUGAUAAAGUGUGCUAAGGUGAAAAAAGUGACAUUUUAUGUCUAGAAAGUCACUUUUCAUCAAAAGUACAAUGACAAAACUAGUUCCCAUUCAUCCUGUGUUCCCAAACACACUUGUGCUCUUUAUACACUCAAAACGCUAUACAGCGAUUGAGAAGGCGCUAGGAGCAAAGGAAAGUGGUUUUUCCAACAAACUCAUGUAAUCAAUUGCCCGACCUACUCCCG